rfam:Rhizobium tibeticum isolate CCBAT85039 genome assembly, contig: CCBAT85039_contig1
AGAACGCUCCGUGGUGAUUUGGCCGGCCGGCUUGCAGCCACGUUAAAGAAGUCGCUAAAGGGCCGCGUGCGGACCGAU